UACAGGGGGGGCAAGCGUUGUUCGGAAUUACUGGGCGUAAAGGGCGAGUAGGCGGCCAACUAAGUCCGACGUGAAAUCCCCAGGCUUAACCUGGGAACUGCGUCGGAUACUGGAUGGCUUGAAUUCGGGAGAGGGAUGCGGAAUUCCAGGUGUAGCGGUGAAAUGCGUAGAUAUCUGGAGGAACACCGGUGGCGAAGGCGGCAUCCUGGACCAAUAUUGACGCUGAGGAGCGAAAGCUAGGGGAGCAAACGGG
rnacentral:rRNA from 1 species